CCUGCAGGAAAGGACAUCAACCGAGACUCCGCAAGUAGUGGCGAGCGAACGCGGACCAGGCCAGUGGCACUGAGGAAUAAAGUGGAACGACAUGGAAAGGUCGGCCGUAGAGGGUGAUAGCCCCUUACACGUAGAACACUCAGUGUCCUUGAGUAAGGCGGGACACGUGAAAUCCUGUCUGAACAUGGGGAGACCACUCUCCAAGCCUAAGUACUCGUGCAUGACCGAUAGCGAACAAGUACCGUGAGGGAAAGGUGAAAAGCACCCCGACAAGGGGAGUGAAAUAGAACCUGAAACCGGAUGCCUACAAACAGUUGGAGCCCGCAAGGGUGACAGCGUACCUUUUGUAUAAUGGGUCAACGACUUAGUGUGACGAGCAAGCUUAAGCCGAUAGGUGAAGGCGCAGCGAAAGCGAGUCUGAACAGGGCGUUCAGUUCGUCGCAUUAGACCCGAAACCGAGUGAUCUAGCCAUGAGCAGGUUGAAGGUUGGGUAACACCAACUGGAGGACCGAACCCGCAUCUGUUGCAAUAGAUUGGGAUGACUUGUGGUUAGGGGUGAAAGGCCAAUCAAACUCGGAAAUAGCUGGUUCUCCGCGAAAACUAUUUAGGUAGUGCGUCGACCGAAUACCCUCGGGGGUAGAGCACUGGAUGGGCUAUGGGGACUCACCGUCUUACUGAUCCUAACCAAACUCCGAAUACCGAGGAGUACUAGUCGGCAGACACACGGCGGGUGCUAACGUCCGUCGUGAAAAGGGCAACAACCCUGACCUCCAGCUAAGGUCCCCAAGUCAUGGCUAAGUGGGAAAGGAUGUGAGGAUCCCAAAACAACCAGGAUGUUGGCUUAGAAGCAGCCAUCAUUUAAAGAAAGCGUAACAGCUCACUGGUCUAAUUAAGGGUCUUUGCGCCGAAAAUGUAACGGGGCUAAAGCCAUGCACCGAAGCUGAGGAUGUAUCGCAAGAUACGUGGUAGCGGAGCGUUCCGUAAGCCUGUGAAGGGAUACCCGUGAGGGGUCCUGGAGGUAUCGGAAGUGCGAAUGUUGACAUGAGUAACGAUAAAGAGGGUGAGAGACCCUCUCGCCGAAAGACCAAGGGUUCCUGCUUAAAGUUAAUCUGAGCAGGGUUAGCCGGCCCCUAAGACGAGGCGGACACGCGUAGUCGAUGGGAACCACGUUAAUAUUCGUGGGCCUGGUGGUAGUGACGGAUCGCUUAACUUGUUUGGACUUAUUGGAUUGUCCAGGCGGGGACGCGGUUCCAGGAAAUAGCUCCACCAUUAUAGACCGUACCCGAAACCGACACAGGUGGUCAGGUAGAGUAUACCAAGGCGCUUGAGAGAACUAUGCUGAAGGAACUCGGCAAAUUGCACGCGUAACUUCGGAAGAAGCGUGACCCUUUUUGACGCAAGUCAGAUGGGGUGGCACAGACCAGGGGGUAGCGACUGUUUAUCAAAAACACAGGGCUCUGCGAAGUCGCAAGACGACGUAUAGGGUCUGACGCCUGCCCGGUGCUGGAAGGUUAAGAGGAGGGGUGCAAGCUCUGAAUCGAAGCCCCAGUAAACGGCGGCCGUAACUAUAACGGUCCUAAGGUAGCGAAAUUCCUUGUCGGGUAAGUUCCGACCUGCACGAAUGGCGUAACGACUUCCCCGCUGUCUCCAGCAUAGACUCAGUGAAAUUGAAUUCCCCGUGAAGAUGCGGGGUUCCUGCGGUCAGACGGAAAGACCCCGUGCACCUUUACUAUAGCUUUACACUGGCAUUCGUGUCGGCAUGUGUAGGAUAGGUGGUAGGCUUUGAAGCAGGGACGCCAGUUCUUGUGGAGCCAUCCUUGAAAUACCACCCUUAUCGUCAUGGAUGUCUAACCGCGGUCCGUCAUCCGGAUCCGGGACAGUGUAU
rnacentral:rRNA from 1 species